rnacentral:lncRNA from 1 species
GUUUUCCAUGAAUCACCGAAAUUCUUUUGGUAUUCAUCUACCACCUAAACCAACAGUUAAUCAACUUGGUGAACAUAAUGAAAGCACUUGGUGAACAUAAAGAAACAAAGUUUAACAGGUCAAAUGUCAUUGAUGAAGGUUGGAUAAACUUAGUGACUUACUUGGUUUAACAGAGAAAAUGCACUUCGAACAGGAUAGUGGUC